rnacentral:rRNA from 1 species
GAACGGUAACGCGGGGCAACCUGGCGACGAGUGGCGAACGGGUGAGUAAUAUAUCGGAACGUGCCCAGUAGUGGGGGAUAGCCCGGCGAAAGCCGGAUUAAUACCGCAUGAGACCUGAGGGUGAAAGCGGGGGAUCGCAAGACCUCGCGCUACUGGAGCGGCUGAUAUCAGAUUAGGUAGUUGGUGGGGUAAAGGCCUACCAAGCCGACGAUCUGUAGCUGGUCUGAGAGGACGACCAGCCACACUGGGACUGAGACACGGCCCAGACUCCUACGGGAGGCAGCAGUGGGGAAUUUUGGACAAUGGGCGCAAGCCUGAUCCAGCCAUGCCGCGUGCGGGAAGAAGGCCUUCGGGUUGUAAACCGCUUUUGUCGGGGAAGAAAUCCUCUGGGUUAAUACCUCGGGGGGAUGACGGUACCCGAAGAAUAAGCACCGGCUAACUACGUG